CAGUAGCCACGGGAAUACGAAGGGUGCAAGCGUUACUCGGAAUUACUGGGCGUAAAGCGUGCGUAGGUGGUGGUUUAAGUCCGUUGUGAAAGCCCUGGGCUCAACCUGGGAAUUGCAGUGGAUACUGGGUCACUAGAGUGUGGUAGAGGAUAGUGGAAUUUCCGGUGUAGCAGUGAAAUGCGUAGAGAUCAAGAGGAACACUCGUGGCGAAAGCGAGCUACUGGACAAUAUCUGACGCUGAGGCUCGAAGGCCAGGGUAGCGAAAGGGAUUAGAGACCCGGGUAGUCCCUGUCUCUUAUAC
rnacentral:rRNA from 1 species